UACGUAGGGGGCUAGCGUUGUCCGGAUUUAUUGGGCGUAAAGAGCGUGUAGGCGGCCAGGUAGGUCCGUUGUGAAAACUCGAGGCUCAACCUCGAGACGUCGGCGGAAACCAUCUGGCUAGAGUCCGGAAGAGGAGAGUGGAAUUCCUGGUGUAGCGGUGAAAUGCGCAGAUAUCAGGAAGAACACCCGUGGCGAAGGCGGCUCUCUGGGACGGUACUGACGCUGAGACGCGAAAGCGUGGGGAUCAAACAGG
rnacentral:rRNA from 1 species